UACGGGGGGGGCAAGCGUUGUUCGGAAUUACUGGGCGUAAAGGGCUCGUAGGUGGCCAACUAAGUCAGACGUGAAAUCCCUCGGCUUAACCGGGGAACUGCGUCUGAUACUGGAUGGCUUGAGUUCGGGAGAGGGAUGCGGAAUUCCAGGUGUAGCGGUGAAAUGCGUAGAUAUCUGGAGGAACACCGGUGGCGAAGGCGACAUCCUGGACCGACACUGACACUGAGGAGCGAAAGCCAGGGGAGCAAACGGG
rnacentral:rRNA from 1 species